UGGGGAAUCUUGGACAAUGGGGGCAACCCUGAUCCAGCCAUGCCGCGUGAGUGAUGAAGGCCUUAGGGUUGUAAAGCUCUUUCACCGGUGAAGAUAAUGACGGUAGCCGGAGAAGAAGCCCCGGCUAACUCCGUGCCAGCAGCCGCGGUAAUACGGAGGGGGUUAGCGUUGUUCGGAAUUACUGGGCGUAAAGCGCACGUAGGCGGACCAGAAAGUUGGGGGUGAAAUCCCGGGGGCUCAACCCCGGAACUGCCUCCAAAACUAUUGGUCUAGAGUUCGAGAGAGGUGAGUGGAAUUCCAAGUGUAGAGGUGAAAUUCGUAGAUAUUUGGAGGAACACCAGUGGCGAAGGCGGCUCACUGGCUCGAUACUGACGCUGAGGUGCGAAAGUGUGGGGAGCAAACAGGAUUAGAUACCCUGGUAGUCCACACCGUAAAACGAUGAAUGCCAGUCGUCGGGUAGCAUGCUAUUCGGUGACACACCUAACGGAUUAAGCAUUCCGCCUGGGGAGUACGGUCGCAAGAUUAAAACUCAAAUGAAUUG
rnacentral:rRNA from 1 species